CUCUCUCUCUCUCUCUCUUUAUUUUUUGGAUUAAUUAACCUUCUCUAUGCGUGUAUGAAUAUCGUUUAACUUGAACCUAGGGCAGCAAACCCACCACCUUUCAUCAUCUGCUUAAACUCCUUGUAGUUCACCAUCCCAUCUCCAUCCACAUCCACUUUCUUUAUCAUCCUCUUGCAAUCCUCUAAAGUUCUUCCUUGCUUCAGCCCCAAGGAUGCCAAAACUGACUUCAACUCGUCCACCGUGAUAAACCCAUCUCCGUUUUGAUCAAAAACAUUGAAUGCUUCUUUCAUGUCCUCGUCCUCGUCCUUCUCAUUCAUUAUCGUUUCAUAUAAUCCCCCAAACUCUUCAAUAUCCACAAACCCAUCUCCAUUAGCAUCAAUCUUUUCGAUCAUUUGAACCAAAUCCUUGUCGGGUAUGAAGAUACCCAAGUUCUGUAGCGAGUCGCUGAGUUCUUUCCUUGUGAUCUUGCCAUCUCCAUUCCUAUCAAACAUUUGGAAAACCCGGCGUAGCUCUGCCGGAUCCAUCUUGAAUUACAAAAGAGAAGUAUUACAAAAAAAAAAAAAAUAGGAAUCAAUAACGAUGAUCAAGAAACACAGUGAUAUAAACACCUAGGAAUUGAUUAAUUCUUCCUUAUUAGAAAAGAGUAGUUUCAAAGACAAAAGGGAAAAGGGAGAGCAAAAAAGGUGACAAAAAUCUGAGAUAAUUAAGUCACAGAUUCUUUUAGAUUACAAGAAAGAGAAGAUAUGUAAAUAUGGAAAAUGUCUUUAAGAGAAAGGCUAGCAAGUGAGCAGAGGCAGUGGGUGGUGGGUGGUGGUGAUUAAUAGGUUUAAAUUUGUGGAGCAAAAAGAAGAAGA
rnacentral:misc_RNA from 1 species